CGUAUCAUAUUUUUUGCUCUCGUCCCGAACUUGUUUCCUACCACUGGAUUAGUUGCACCAGUCUCGAAGCACUGGAGGGAGAAACGUCAACCAGAAGCUCGUUCGAUGAAAAAGUCAAUCGGCCCGAACGCAAUCCUAUUGAUCCUAUCCAGUCCCCUCCUUCCCCACUCACCCACUUCUCUCUCCCACCUCUGGCCGCCUACUCCGGCAGCUGGUCACGCUGGUCCGUGCAUGGCGACCGUGAAGCCCGGUACACGCGGCACCACCCGGAGCCUCCCCGUCUCUUGCGCAGGUGAUGAGGCGGCUGUCGGUGAGGUGCUCGAGGUGGUCAGCGGAGGAGACAAAGUUGAGUGCGGCAUGGGGGAGCUCCACUGACCCCCAACAUCAGGGGCGUCACGACUCAUGCGGCGGGACGGGGCGGGCUCCGUUGUCCUCGCCGGCUUCGUGGCUUGGGGGCUUGGGGGCUUAGGUUCUCCCUUUUCUCGCAGAAUCAUAAAGUCCCGGACGUAUCAUAUUUUUUGCUCUCGUCCCGAACUUGUUUCCUACCACUGGAUUAGUUGCACCAGUCUCGAAGCACUGGAGGGAGAAACGUCAACCAGAAGCUCGUUCGAUGAAAAAGUCAAUCGGCCCGAACGCAAUCCUAUUGAUCCUAUCCAGUCCCCUCCUUCCCCACUCACCCACUUCUCUCUCCCACCUCUGGCCGCCUACUCCGGCAGCUGGACGCGCUGGUCCGUGCAUGGCGACCGUGAAGCCCGGUACACGCGGCACCACCCGGAGCCUCCCCGUCUCUUGCGCAGGUGAUGAGGUGGCUGUCGGUGAGGUGCCCGAGGUGGUCAGCGGAGGAGACGAAGUUGAGUGCGGCAUGGGGGAGCUCCACUGACCCCCAACAUCAGGGGCGUCACGACUCAUGCGGCGGGACGGGGCGGGCUCCGUUGUCCUCGCCGGCUUCGUGGCUUGGGGGCUUGGGGGAGGGAGCCGCGAGUCCGGUAAUUACUUGCAUGCACUGCGGUGGAGAGUAGCGAUUCCGCAGAUUCCGAUGGAGAGCGGAGGUGGGGGCCCGGUGAUGAGUUCCCUGGGACAUCUCCAUGGAUGCACCCGCGGUAGGGGCGGCGUGAUGGAGUCCUCGCCGACGGCAUCCAUCCUCAGAAGGGAGCGCAGUGGAGAGGUGCUCAUCAAGCUCAGCCAGCUCGCGUUGUACCGCGGGGCGAGGGGGAUCUGGCAGGUCGAUGCGCCGCUGCUCCCCUUCUGCUAAGCCCGGAGGGCCCCUGCGGGCCGUGCUCAUGUCCAGCACGGUCUACUGCCUCAUCUCGUGUUAAGGCUCCAUCAUCACAACCGGGUCCGUCGUGCUCACCGUCAGCGCCAACGACGCUUCAACUCUUCAGCGCGUCAUGCUCACCAUCAGCUGGUGAGCAAUUUUGCCAUGGUGCAGAAUGUUUUGAACAUAAUUUUCCAUGUCCUCAUGAAACAUCCUUUAAGUUUGCCAUGCUACACUAAAAUCUGAGUAGCAGACAUUUUUCCCGUGAUUUGUUUAGUUACUAAAUUUGACAUGCCAGUCGUACAGAAUUUUAACAUUAUUUGAUCCUAUAAUACAUGGCAAUUUCUAAUCACGAUGUUUAGCAUAACAUGGCAAUUUCUUAGAUCAUUACGAAUUCUCACGCCAUGGCAACUUUUAGAAAUUGUUAGUUCAUUCACAUGCCAUUAUUUUUGAUAGUUUUGGCCCUAACAUCAUGGCCCAACUCAGAUUAUUUGUUUCUAAUGAUCAUAUGGCAAAUGUAGGCUUUUUUAGUAACUAUGCGUCAUACGGUUAUAUGGCAAUGAUGUGAUAAUUGCAUUUUAGUAACAAUUUGUCAUCAUUUCAUCAAUGUGGGGGGUCAUUUCUGAAAGUUUCUAAAACAUGGCAAUAUGUGAAAGUUUUCUAAAAUGUGGCAAACUUGUCGUCCUUCAAAUAGUUUGCCACCAUUUUUUCUCAAAAUGUAUUUUUCAAAUUUCUCUAACAUCACAAACUUACUAUACGAACCAUGGCAAACUUAGUUAAUGGAUCAUGGCAAGUUUAAUUCAAAUAGCAUGGAAAAUUUUGUCUUAUCAUUUGCAAAAUUUACAUAUAUGACAUUUCUUCUUUAAAGAUUUCACAUGGCAAAUUUAACUCAAGUCCCAUGUCUAAAUUUGCCAUGUUUUUAGACAUCUCCAAAUUUGCCAUGUCAAACGAUCACAAAAACAUGGCAAAUUCUAAAAGUGUCUAAAACAUGGAAAACUUGCCAUCCUUCAACUAGUUUUGCCACCAUUUUCUUUGAAUGUAUUUUUUAUUUUCUCUAACAUUUGCAAAAUUACUAUAUGGACUAUGGCAAAAUUAGUUGGAUCAUGGCAAGUUUAAUUCA